rnacentral:rRNA from 1 species
UACGUAGGGCGCGAGCGUUGUCCGGAAUUAUUGGGCGUAAAGAGCUCGUAGGCGGUUUGUCGCGUCUGCCGUGAAAGUCCGGGGCUCAACUCCGGAUCUGCGGUGGGUACGGGCAGACUAGAGUGAUGUAGGGGAGACUGGAAUCCUGGUGUAGCGGUGAAAUGCGCAGAUAUCAGGAGGAACACCGAUGGCGAAGGCAGGUCUCUGGGCAUUAACUGACGCUGAGGGAAGCUG